rnacentral:lncRNA from 1 species
GGUAUCCGUCCUGAUCUCCGUCCACAUUAGAGUCAUAAAAUGAGCUAAGAAACUAUAGCAGUAGGAGGAAAAGGGAGCAAGACAAGAGAAGGAUGAGCCUGUCCUCAACAGUGAGAAACACUUCUCUCCUGACGUCCGAGCUCGGUUUCCUCAGGUCUCAUGGAUGACCAGGCACUGUCCCUGGACCACCGUCAUUUCCCACCACAAGUCUCCAACUGAAUAGAUCGGACAGAAUCUACCUAUUAAAAUGCUUAAAGCAAAA